rnacentral:tRNA from 1 species
GCCUCGUUGGUGCUGCAGGCAGCGCGUCAGUCUCAUAAUCUGGAGGUCGUGAGUUCGAUCCUCACACGGGGCA